rnacentral:lncRNA from 1 species
GGAAUUACCCUGGGUUUGGUCCCUGUCUCACCUGGGGGACGAUUCCAUCUCCCUCCAGGGCAUGGAUUACCCCGGGUUUGGUCCCUGUCUCACCUGGGGGAUGAUUCCAGCCUGCUCUAGAUCAGGGAUUAUCCCGGGUUUGGUCCCUGUCUCACCUGGGGGAUGAUUCCAUCUCCCUCCAGGGCAGGGAUUAUCNAGAAAUGAACAGAGCCCUCACUGAGAAAUGAACAGAGCCCUCACAGAAAUGAACAGAUCCCUCACUGAGAAAUGAACAGAUCCCCUCACUGAGAAAUGAACAGAUCCCCUCACAGAAAUGAACAGAUCCCUCACUGAGAAAUGAACAGAUCCCCUUACUCAGGAACAGAUCCCCUCACAUGAGGGGCACAAAUCCCCUCAGAAGGAGCAGAUCUCACUCAGGGGCACAGAUCCUGUCACUGAGAAAUGAACAGAUCCUGUCACUGAGAAAUGAACAGAGCCCUCACAGAAAUGAACAGAUCCCUCACUGAGAAAUGAACAGAUCCCUCAUUGAGAAAUGAACAGAUCCCUCACUGAGAAAUGAACAGAUCCCUCACUGAGAAAUGAACAGAUCCCUCACAGNAUCCCUCACUGAGAAAUGAACAGAUCCCUCACUGAGAAAUGAACAGAUCCCUCACAGAAAUGAACAGAUCCCUCACUGAGAAAUGAACAGAUCCCCUCACAGAAAUGAACAGAUCCCUCACAGAAAUGAACAGCGCCCCUCACAUGAGGGGCACAAAUCCCCUCAGAAGGAGCAGAUCUCACUCAGGGGCACAGAUCCCCUCACUCAGAAAUGAACAAAUCUCACUUGAAGAACAGAUCCCUUCACUCAGAGAAGAACAGAUCUUCACUCUCAGGGGCAUGGAUCUCACUCAGAAAUGAACAAAUCUCACUUACAAAUGAACAAAUCUCAUUCAGAAAUGAACAAAUCUCAUUCACUCAGAGAAGAACAGAUCUUCACUCUCAGGGGCACGGAUCUCACUCAGAAAUUAACAAAUCUCACUUAGAAAUGAACAAAUCUCAUUCAGAAAUGAACAAAUCUCAUUCAUUCAGAAAUGAACAAAUCUCACUCAGAAAUGAACAAAUCUCACUCACUCAGAAAUGA